rnacentral:rRNA from 1 species
UACGUAGGGGGCAAGCGUUGUCCGGAAUCAUUGGGCGUAAAGCGCGUGUAGGCGGCUAGGUAAGUCUGCUCUGAAAGCCCGGGGCUCAACCCCGGGAGGCGGGUGGAUACUGUCUAGCUCGAGUCCGGAAGAGGAGUGUGGAAUUCCUGGUGUAGCGGUGAAAUGCGCAGAUAUCAGGAGGAACACCGAUGGCGAAGGCAGGUCUCUGGGCAUUAACUGACGCUGAGGAGCGAAAGCAUGGGGAGCGAACAGG